ACCAGGCAGGCUAGUUGAGAACACCUUUAUUUAACCAGGUAGGCCAGUUGAGAACACCUUUAUUUAACCAGGUAGGCUAGUUGAGAACACCUUUAUUUAACCAGGUAGGCCAGUUGAGAACACCUUUAUUUAACCAGGUAGGCCAGUUGAGAACACCUUUAUUUAACCAGGUAGGCUAGUUGAGAACACCUUUAUUUAACCAGGCAGGCUAGUUGAGAACACCUUUAUUUAACCAGGCAGGCUAGUUGAGAACACCUUUAUUUAACCAGGCAGGCUAGUUGAGAACACCUUUAUUUAACCAGGCAGGCUAGUUGAGAACACCUUUAUUUAACCAGGCAGGCUAGUUGAGAACACCUUUAUUUAACCAGGCAGGCUAGUUGAGAACACCUUUAUUUAACCAGGCAGGCUAGUUGAGAACACCUUUAUUUAACCAGGUAGGCUAGUUGAGAACACCUUUAUUUAACCAGGCAGGCUAGUUGAGAACACCUUUAUUUAACCAGGCAGGC